UUUGCGAUGGCUUGACAUACAGGCGUGCGUACAUCUCGUAAGGAGUUAUAACGUGAAAUAAUGACACAGACUGGAUACACCAUCUCAUCUGCAGUAGAGACUGUUGUAUCAGAAGGACAGCGCGUUUAUUUGAGGCACUUUUCACUUCAACUGUGCCUGACAGGGGAAUUGGCUUUUCUGAGCCUUCUAACCGUUGAGUUACCAUGGCAACCGCGUAACUGUUACACAUCAGCUGCUGGAGAGGAGAGGACUCGUCUGACAUUUUCUCUGUUUCUCGUCAGUUAUACCAAAGAAAAGGCCAACAAUUGCGAAAGAUUGUGAUUUCAGGAGUGUCUUAAAAACCCUCUAAAACAGAGGAGAAGUUCCAAGAAAAUGUCUAAUGGGAGCUGCUGACAGAGAUAGAAAGCACAGUUUGUUUAUAUCUAAUAAGGAGCUGGAGGCAGUGAAGAAACAGAUCCAUGAUAUUGUGGAGAAUCAGGUCCAGCUGAGCGAGUGGAGAGCUAUGCUGGAAAUAUUCAGGGGUUGAUGCUCAUAAGUCCAGGUGUAAGACAUGAACCAGGCCCUGGGCGAUGACCUCUCUACAUCCCCCGCCUCCGGUCCUCAGGAUCUCCGCCAGAACCCGAUCCGCUCCACUUCGUGAGACAGAACACGACGCUGUGAUCAUCGGAGACUCCAUCGUCCGGCCCGUUCAUGCUAUAUUAGCUGAAGGUAAAGUCCACACUCACUGUUUCCCUGGUGCUCAUGUUCUUGAUAUUUCUGCAUAGAUUCCCGUGAUCCUGAAGGGUGAGGGGAGCAUCGGAGUGGACAUGCUUCACGCCGGGGUUAACGACACCACGCUGCGGCAGACGGAGACACUGAAGAGGGACUUCAGGAGCCUGAUCAAGACGGUGCACAGCAUAUCGCCUGCAUGAUGAUCAUCGUGUCAGGACCACUUCCCACGUACAGACGAGGACAUGAAAGGUUCAGCAGAUUUUUUGCUUUAAACGAAUGGUUAUAGUCAUGGUGUAAAGAACAGAAACUGCUUUUUGUUAAUAAUUGGAAUCUUUUCUGGGAGCGUCCUAGGCUUUUUAGAUCUCCUGUUGGACAACAUCUCCAGGACACUUCGCUCCAUAUGACUAGGGUGUGACGAGACACUUAUCCCACAAGACGAGACGAGACACGAGGCAGGUGUAAAAAAGGCCACACGCAGGUUAUAUUCAUUUGGCUAAGCUUCCCCUGCAAUACACCACACUCAACGCACACGCAGCAUCUAUCCUGUGAGCCAAUCAGGACUACAUGCAGGAUGCGAAAGGUCAGCGGUCCCGCCCACAGAACGGAGUUAGAGCGAUCGGGAAAGCGGACAGAUGCGAGCUGCACUGUAGCGAUUUAUAUUUGCCAAAGUUGUGUGCGUGCCUAAAAAGGCAGUUUGUGAAGACAGAUAAUCAAGAGAAGUCAGUUCCAGAUCCACCCUCCACACCAGACCUCUCUCUCACGAGGAUUGCUGUCUACUAGCAUAUUGUGUUCUCUUCAGACUUUGGCGGAUGCAGAUAUUACUCAGGGACAUGAACACAUGAAUAUUGCAAGAAUAGAGAAAUGCAAUUUAUUCUGCUCACCUGACCUGGCAGACUUCUGUCCUGAUGUUUGUCCCUCCAUCAUCCAUUCUUUGGCAACCAGUCUUUGUAUGAGACCACCAUGAUCUAAUCUAUACAGAUCUAGUUUUCACUUCUCCCACAAACCCCACUUUCAGGGAAUUCUAUCAAGGAUACUAGAGGUUACAGUUUGGAUCCAGCUUCACUUGUGAAGACUUUAGAUGGCAACAAUAUUCAUGAAGAGUUCAGAUGAUGGACAGACUGAACUGCCAAAUGUUAUAUUGUAAUUAUUGAGUAUGUUUACAUGAGC